rnacentral:lncRNA from 7 species
GAAUUUUUAUUAGCCAGUGUUGCUGCUUUCUUAAUUUCCUUCCUUUUCGAUUGCAGGCUCUCAAUAACUGGGGUCUUGGGCUACAGGAGCUGAGUGCAAUUGUUCCUGCCCGGGAUAAACAGACCAUCAUAAAAACAGCUA